rnacentral:lncRNA from 1 species
AGGGCACCCCCACCUUAGGCCUCACAUCAUGGCAUCCAGGCCAUGAUACCAGUGUCCCUGCCUCUCCUGAUACAGUGCCCCCAUCACACACCACAACAUCCCCACCUCAUGCCAUAGUGCCCUCCCCUCUUGUACCUGGGACCAAUUGGCCUCAAUGAAGACUGGCUGCAUGUCACCACCCUCUGUUGGAUUGCCUGAUGCGGUAACGCAACUUUGUUCCAGUGACCAAGCUGUUCACAAGCCCCCAUCGAAGUCAUGCUUGAAGUCACCUCGUGGUAUCAUGACAUUACUCUUGGAGGCAUGUGUUCAGAUGCCACUCUGCGAAGUCCUCUGGAAUACAGCAUUUUCCACCUACCAGAUAGAUGCAUUCCAAAGAGACUACCAUCGCCCACUCCCCUGCUCUAGGGGCCUGAUCAGCACACGGGAGUCUAUAGGGUGGAUUAAAAGGAACUGGAUUACUCUUGCCACAGCUGCUUCCCACUGGUAG